rnacentral:rRNA from 1 species
UGGGGAAUUUUGGACAAUGGGGGAAACCCUGAUCCAGCCAUCCCGCGUGUGCGAUGAAGGCCUUCGGGUUGUAAAGCACUUUUGGCAGGAAAGAAACGUCAUGGGUUAAUACCCCGUGAAACUGACGGUACCUGCAGAAUAAGCACCGGCUAACUACGUGCCAGCAGCCGCGGUAAUACGUAGGGUGCAAGCGUUAAUCGGAAUUACUGGGCGUAAAGCGUGCGCAGGCGGUUCGGAAAGAAAGAUGUGAAAUCCCAGAGCUCAACUUUGGAACUGCAUUUUUAACUACCGGGCUAGAGUGUGUCAGAGGGAGGUGGAAUUCCGCGUGUAGCAGUGAAAUGCGUAGAUAUGCGGAAGAACACCGAUGGCGAAGGCAGCCUCCUGGGAUAACACUGACGCUAAUGCACGAAAGCGUGGGGAGCAAACAGG